GACGAACGCUGGCGGCGUGCUUAACACAUGCAAGUCGAACGGAAAGGCCCUGCUUUUGUGGGGUGCUCGAGUGGCGAACGGGUGAGUAACACGUGAGUAACCUGCCCUUGACUUUGGUAUAACUUCAGGAAACUGGGGCUAAUACCGGAUAGGAGCUCCUGCUGCAUUGUGGGGGUUGGAAAUUUUCGGCGGUUGGGGAUGGACUCGCGGCUUAUCAGCUUGUUGGUGGGGUAGUGGCUUACCAAGGCUUUGACGGGUAGCCGGCCUGAGAGGGUGACCGGCGACAUUGGGACUGAGAUACGGCGCAGACUGCAACGGGAGGCAGCAGUGGGGAAUAUUGCACAAUGGGCGGAAGCCUGAUGCAGCAACGCCGCGGGCGGGAUGACGGCCUUCGGGUUGUAAACCGCUUUCGCCUGUGACGAAGCGUGAGUGACGGUAAUGGGUAAAGAAGCACCGGCUAACUACGUG
rnacentral:rRNA from 1 species